GGAGGGAUACCCAAGUGGCUAAAGGGGGCAGACUGUAAAUCUGUUGGCAUUGCCUUCGAUGGUUCGAAUCCAUCUCCCUCCACUA
rnacentral:tRNA from 1 species